GUCGCCUGAUUAAAACACCCCAACCCUGACUCUGCAGUUGGGAGAGGAGCCCCAGCCCUAGGAUUUCCAGGUAUUCCAAUCAGCAAUCAGGGCAGAACACAGAGAGCUCACCAUGGAGUCUAUGCUCGGCUGGGUUUUCCUUGUUGCUCUUUUAAAAGGUGUCCAGUGUGAGGUGCAGCUGGUGGAGUCUGGCGGAGACCUGGUGAAGCCUGGGGGGUCCCUGAGACUCUCCUGUGCAGCCUCUGGAUUCACCUUCAGUAGC